rnacentral:rRNA from 1 species
CUGGCGGCGUGCUUAACACAUGCAAGUCGAACGGAGUUUUUAAACGGAAGUUUUCGGAUGGAAGUUUAAGAACUUAGUGGCGGACGGGUGAGUAACGCGUGGGUAACCUGCCUCAUACAGGGGGAUAACAGUUAGAAAUGACUGCUAACACCGCAUAAUAUAGUGAAACCGCAUGAUUUUUGCUAUCAAAUAUUUAUAGGUAUGAGAUGGGCCCGCGUCUGAUUAGCUAGUUGGUGGGGUAAAAGCCUACCAAGGCGACGAUCAGUAGCCGGCUUGAGAGAGUGACCGGCCACAUUGGGACUGAGACACGGCCCAAACUCCUACGGGAGGCAGCAGUGGGGAAUAUUGGACAAUGGGGGAAACCCUGAUCCAGCGAACCGCCGCGUGAGUGAAGAAGUAUUUCGGUAUGUAAAGCUCUAUCAGCAGGGAAGAUAAUGACAGUACCUGACUAAGAAGCCCCGGCUAACUACGUGCCAGCCGCUGC